CUAGCCUACGGGACGCAGCAGUGGGGAAUAUUGGGCAAUGGGCGCAAGCCUGACCCAGCAACGCCGCGUGAAGGAAGAAGGCUUUCGGGUUGUAAACUUCUUUUCUCAGGGACGAAGCAAGUGACGGUACCUGAGGAAUAAGCCACGGCUAACUACGUGCCAGCAGCCGCGGUAAUACGUAGGUGGCAAGCGUUAUCCGGAUUUACUGGGUGUAAAGGGCGUGUAGGCGGGGACGCAAGUCAGAUGUGAAAACCAUGGGCUCAACCUGGUGCCUGCAUUUGAAAC
rnacentral:rRNA from 1 species